rnacentral:rRNA from 1 species
CCUACGGGCGGCAGCAGUGAGGAAUAUUGGUCAAUGGACGAGAGUCUGAACCAGCCACGUAGCGUGAAGGAUGACUGCCCUAUGGGUUGUAAACUUCUUUUAUAAAGGAAUAAAACGAGGCACGUGUGCCUUUUUGCAUGUACUUUAUGAAUAAGGAUCGGCUAACUCCGUGCCAGCAGCCGCGGUAAUACGGAGGAUCCGAGCGUUAUCCGGAUUUAUUGGGUUUUAAGGGAGCGUAGAUGGGUUGUUAAGUCAGUUGGGAAAGUUUGCGGCUCAACCGUAAAAUUGCAAUUGAUACUGGCAGUCUUGAGUACAGGUGAGGUAGGCGGAAUUCGUGGUGUAGCGGUGAAAUGCUUAGAUAGCACGAAGAACCCCGAUUGCGAAGGCAGCUUACUAAACUGUGACUGACAUUGAUGCUCGAAAGUGUGGGGAGCAAACAGGAUUAGAUACCCUUGUAGUC